rnacentral:rRNA from 1 species
GAUGAACGCUGGCGGCGUGCCUAAUACAUGCAAGUCGAGCGAACAGAUGAGGAGCUUGCUCCUCUGACGUUAGCGGCGGACGGGUGAGUAACACGUGGAUAACCUACCUAUAAGACUGGGAUAACUUCGGGAAACCGGAGCUAAUACCGGAUAAUAUAUUGAACCGCAUGGUUCAAUAGUGAAAGACGGUUUUGCUGUCACUUAUAGAUGGAUCCGCGCCGCAUUAGCUAGUUGGUAAGGUAACGGCUUACCAAGGCAACGAUGCGUAGCCGACCGGAGAGGUGAUGCGCCCCCCCGGGACUGGGACAGCGGCCCGGACCCUACGGGGAGGCGCAGUAGGGGAUUCUUCGACAUGGGGCGAAGCCUGAACGGGAAACCGCCGCGUAGUGGGUAAGGUGUUUGGGUUCUUAAAACUUUGUUUUUGGGAAAAACCAAUUUUGAAAGUAACUUGUCCCGCCUUACCGUUACCUAAUCAAAAAGCACCGGCUAACUCCGUG